UGGAAAAAAUGCUGUUUAUUGGACUAAGUAUACCAUACAAAGGAAAAAAUAAAUAACUGAAAGCCAAUGUUGCAGCAGUGCUGCUGGCAGUCCGUACAGGAGAGAGUGUGUGAGAGAGAAAAAUAUGAUAUGAUACAGGAAGAGAAUGUUAUAAUCAUUAAAAAAGGUAAGCUUUACACUUCAGGAUUACAAAAAUACAGCAGAAUCUCAAUGAAGAAGCACAACGGUAAUUUCAUGGCAGAUCAGAGCUCAUAUGGGAGCCACACCACCACAUUAAAGUCCAAAACUGAAUUAGAGCUGUUUGGCAGUUUGAGGCUGAAAUAUCCUGAUAGACAACACUGACACUAGCCGUACUCUGGGAGCAAAAGUGUUU